UACAGAGGGUGCAAGCGUUAAUCGGAAUUACUGGGCGUAAAGCGUGCGCAGGCGGUUUUGUAAGACAGGCGUGAAAUCCCCGGGCUUAACCUGGGAAUGGCGCUUGUGACUGCAAAGCUGGAGUGCGGCAGAGGGGGAUGGAAUUCCGCGUGUAGCAGUGAAAUGCGUAGAUAUGCGGAGGAACACCAAUGGCGAAGGCAAUCCCCUGGGCCUGUACUGACGCUCAUGCACGAAAGCGUGGGGAGCAAACAGG
rnacentral:rRNA from 1 species